GCCGCGCCUAGCCUUUGGCCGGGCGAAAAGCCGGACGCCUUCACCGGCCUGGCGCGGCAUCCCAAUGAAGG
rnacentral:sRNA from 1 species